AUGCUUGCUUUGGCAGCACAUAUACUAACACUGGAAAGAUACAGAGAAGAUUACCAUGACCCCUGUGCAAAGACGACACACAAAUUCAUAAAGUGUUCCAUAUUAUA
ensembl:snRNA U6 U6 spliceosomal RNA